GGGACAGGUGGCCGGGGGAUGAUUCCAGCCCUGAAAACCUUCACAGAGUGGCCGGCAGUGACCCCCCAGAAACCCCUCGAACUGCAACAGUGGGGGUUCUUUCUCUUCAAGAGAAGCAAUAGCAUUUAAAA